UAUUCUAACACAGAUAACUAAGCAGGAGACCCACACACAUCCAUAUAGUUCACAUUCUCCAGAGUAAAGAGCUUGUGAGAGAUGCUGUGGUUGGAUUCAAUCGACUGACAGAUGGAUUAUGAGGCUUAUUACACUUAAAUAAUGUGAGAAGUUGGGAGGCUGCCCCAUUCGCCUGUCAAAGAUUUAAGCCUGUAAGAUUGGUUCAGACGAGGCUGCAGAUACUGCAGAUUUGCAGUGCAUAGGCAAAAAUCCUACUUCUCCACCAAGUGUCAUCAUCCUACAUGAUCACAAAUUUUGUUUUCCUCAGGGCAAGAACACAGAUCAUGCUGCCACGUGGUGACUUCGACCGUCCGUAUGCUUCCAUCCUCAAGGCAGUUCCUUUGUUCCAGGAAAGAGAGCGAUCUUCUACCUCAAUGUGAGAGGCAGAACUCAGGGAUGAAGACAGCUCGUGAACUUGUCCCUCCAGCUCUCCCACUCUGAGUGUGAGCGUCGUCUUCUCUCC